UACGGAGGUGCGAGCGUUGUCCGGAAUCACUAGGGCGUAAAGCGCACGUAGGCGGACUCUUAAGUCGGUGGUGAAACUCCUGGAGCUCAACUCCAGAACUGCCUCCGAUACUGGGAGCCUUCGAGUCCGGGAGAGGUGAGUGGAACUGCGAGUGUAGAGGUGAAAUUCGUAGAUAUUCGCAAGAACACCAGUGGCGAAGGCGGCUCACUGGCCCGGUACUGACGGCUGAGG
rnacentral:rRNA from 1 species